GGAACACUACCCCGCACACUGAGCAAGGAACCCACGAAUCCACGCUGCACCACCCUUCUCUAUUUUAGGUAAUGCGAGCUUCAUCAUGCUUAGGUCUGACAAUGCGAGUGGCGCAUAUGUCGUUUUUUCACUUCCGUCUCUACAAAUAGCCGUUAACAGUGGUAGUUGAUGAGAGGCCGGAGCAUCCCGUCUGAUUUUUGACUUAGGUUUCAAAUCAUUACAUUGAUGCACAUUCGCUCUGGCUGCAUUCCCCUGAUAAUAUCUGUUCCUAUUACCUCUUAACCCCCCUGUCUCAUGGCGCUCCAUCGGAGUAGAUGACUGUGGUUUUUGUGACUCUAGCUCUGCUCCAUGCUCCUGAAAUUCCUCGUCCCAAUCAUCUGCAGGGCCAGGCUCAUCUUCCUCUGACUCAACCUGCCUCCCCCGCUCAUCCUGUCCACGCCGGGUGAUUGAUUGCCGCUCUGCCUGGGCUAUGACUUCUAACAAAGUCUCUUCUCCUGCAACUCUUCUUCCCCCUACAUUAAAUGAGGUCAUCGGUCUGUGCUCGGGUUGCCGCUUCUUUACGACUGUCGAGUGACCCUGUGGUGUGUUAGGAUUACUCCAAUCGACAGGCUCCAGCUGGGGCCUGUCCUCCAAAUAUUGUACCGUCUCUGAGAGAAAAGCAGAAACCUUCUCCACCCCAUCAUUCUCUUCAUGUGGAUAUGGAGUUACCUGUAACAACCCUUUUUGAACUACCAAAACCUGAGAUUCUCCUGGAUUAGUAGCUUUCCCUUGCCUCAGUGGCAUCUGAUGUGGUUCAUUUAACAACCGAUUAGCCUCCGCAUAUGGGCCUGUCGAGUAAGGAGGAGGCGCACUAGAUUUACAACCGGUCUCAUGCUCUUUCUCCUCUCCUGCUUUGGCUUGCGGCAACUGCAUUGCCGUCUUACUCACGAAUACCGCAUUUAUUUCUCCCAGAAAAGUUCUACAGUCCACUAAGAACUCAUCUGCCUUUUCUGCACUUUUCUUCUCUUUUCCACAAAAUCUCCCUUUAACGGCAAGGAGCGCAUGCGCUUGGUCUUUUCCUCUUAUCGCCAUCCUAAGAUGGUCCUGCAGCUGCUCGCCUGUUGGUUGAGAAUCUGUCUCCCUUCCAAACAUUCCUCUUUCCUGCAUCUGUGCAACCCACUUCACAUAUUUUUUUGUUACACAUUUCCUAUCUUUUUCUAGGGUUUUAUCCAUAUGUCUCUUAUAAGUCUUAAACAGGGCGAAACCCAGAGUGCCUUCUUUACACCUCUCCCAUAUCGUUAUGGUUUCCUCCAUUUUCAUCACAGGUUAUUUAUUUAUUCACACGUGGUUUUUGAACACAAGAGAAAGGACUCAAUGCCCAAUACUGUGAACCCAAUCAAGAACCUUCUACUGUAUUAGAGGAAUACAGCGCUCGAUUGUUGAGGCUUAUAACACCAGUUCACUCGUAUUGUUUUAUUUCUCUCGUAUUUAUACCACCAUCAUUUAACUAUGAUUUUCCCUUUUACCCUUUAAUACAUAUCCCCACAGAUGUGUAAUCCGGUCAAACACUUUUCACUGUCGGAUUCUCAGUCCUUUUUCAAGUCCUGAUACGCCCAGCUUCCAGUCCAAGAAUCACACGAGUAGGACUGCAGGACCAGAGGUAUCUACGUACCACACGGAUUGCAACUUGGAUUUCUACAGACUAAGAUUAACAUAAAUCCCUGCUCUAUUCUAAACUGCCAGUCCACUGCAUGCAAACGUGGGACCCCAGUCACCAGAGGUAUCUACGUACCACACGGAUUGCAACUUGGAUUUCUACAGACUAAGAGUAUAUAUAUUUUUACCUAAAUCCCUAAACCUAUGGACACUUAUUCACUUUCCCUAACGUUGAAUUCAGUGUGAGUAUGUGCUUAUACUUUACAUGUGAUCAACAGGAAAUUUUCAAAUUUAGUUUUAAAUUUAGUGGUCUUAUGACGACCUUAUUCAGUCAAUGGACAGAGACGAAUUCUGCAGUUGACAACAAAUCUUUUUAGUAGUAUCCAAUCACAGACAUUUUAUUCAUUUAGAACAAAAGGUUGUCUGCUCACCUGAUUCUGUUUUGGGCCCUUGUUGUCAAUGCUGAACCACGCCGCCGGUCCUUUCAGCUCGGUCCGGAAAACGGACGUCCCCGUCUUUCUUUGUCCAGGUCAGCAAAUCACGUCGGGGUCACCAAAUUGUAAGAAUACGUGUUCAAGAUUUGGAGCCUGGUCGGGG
ensembl:lncRNA